ACUUAAAUUCCCUGGGGUUCUUGUUAAAACGUAGAUUCUGACUCAGUAGGUCUGGGGUGGGGCCUGAGAUUCUGCAUUUCUAACAUGCUCUCAGGUGACUCUGAU
rnacentral:pre_miRNA from 1 species